rnacentral:rRNA from 1 species
AUACGUAGGGGGCGAGCGUUAUCCGGAAUUAUUGGGCGUAAAGAGUACGUAGGCGGUUCUGUAAGCGGGAGGCGAAAGCCCGGGGCUUAACUCCGGUAAGCCUUUCGAACUGCAGGACUUGAGUGCUGGAGGGGAAAAUGGAAUUCCUAGUGUAGCGGGGAAAUGCGUAGAUAUUAGGAGGAACACCAGUGGCGAAGGCGACUUUCUGGACAGUAACUGACGCUGAGGUACGAAAGCGUGGGGAGCAAACAGGAUUAGAUACCCUGGUAGUCCACGCUGUAAACGAUGAGCACUAGGUGUCGGGCUAGCAAUAGUUCGGUGCCGCAGUUAACGCAAUAAGUGCUCCGCCUGGGGAGUACGCACGCAAGUGUGAAACUCAAAUGAAUUGACGGGG